rnacentral:tRNA from 1 species
GGUUCGAUGGUGUAGUUGGUUUAUCACGUCAGUCUAACACACUGAAGGUCCCCAGUUCAAGCCUGGGUCGAAUCA